CUCAACCAAUAGAACAUGGCAAUUAUGACAUGGCCAUUUUGUGCUCCUGGCCCUGAAGAUCUAGGCAGCUUCAACUUCCUCUCUUUUGGUAUACCUCCUUGCCUGUCUAGCAGCCAUGGAAAGAGCCAUGAAGAGACAUGAAGUCUCCCCAGCCCAAAGCCUGUGCUGAGCUCCCAGUUACAGCCAGUGCCAACUGUAUGCCAACAAGCCGUGUGUGUCAACCUUGAAAAUGGGCUCCUCCUCCUCCACUCUACCUGCCUGAAAGGAUGCCUUAUAUAGCAAAAAAGGCCUGUCCCUCCUUAACCCUAUACGGAUUGCAGAUUUGUGAGUGAAAUAAAUAUCUUUUGCUGUUUCAGGCCACUAAAUUUUGGGAUAGUUUUUAUUCAGCAAUGGUAACUGAAACAGCUGUUGGUGCUGGAAUAUUGUGUGAGAUAGAGGAUAUUUUUGUGGCCAUUUUGGACAAUACCAGUCUGCUACAACUUGUGUUAACUUGUGUAAUCAUCACAAUAUUCAUAUGAGAGAGGUUAUUAUCCCUAUUUUACAGAUCAGAAAACAAUCGCAGUACCAAGGAGAGAAAGCUAGGACAUCAUAGUGCUGAGAUGUGGGCCAAGGCAGUAUGGACUCAAAGCUCAUGUUUCUGGUUCUAAUACAUUAUUGUCUUUUAUAAGUCUCUGGGAGUUAAGAGACCAGUUCAUAAACGUCAAGAGUUAUGAGAGAGAAUCUCCACAACAAAUGAAGAGGAAGUAUUGGAAGAGCUUGCUCUCCAAGGUAGAGCCAGGGAGAAGACACCAGCUAGAGAAGACUACCGGUCCCAAAGUCAGUGGCAUGCCUUCAGCAG
rnacentral:lncRNA from 1 species